GAUGAACGCUGGCGGCGUGCCUAAUACAUGCAAGUCGAGCGAACAGACGAGGAGCUUGCUCCUUCGACGUUAGCGGCGGACGGGUGAGUAACACGUAGGUAACCUACCUAUAAGACUGGGAUAACUUCGGGAAACCGGAGCUAAUACCGGAUAAUAUUUCGAACCGCAUGGUUCGAUAGUGAAAGAUGGCUUUGCUAUCACUUAUAGAUGGACCUGCGCCGUAUUAGCUAGUUGGUAAGGUAACGGCUUACCAAGGCAACGAUACGUAGCCGACCUGAGAGGGUGAUCGGCCACACUGGAACUGAGACACGGUCCAGACUCCUACGGGAGGCAGCAGUAGGGAAUCUUCCGCAAUGGGCGAAAGCCUGACGGAGCAACGCCGCGUGAGUGAUGAAGGUCUUCGGAUCGUAAAACUCUGUUAUUAGGGAAGAACAAACGUGUAAGUAACUGCGCACGUCUUGACGGUACCUAAUCAGAAAGCCACGGCUAACUACGUG
rnacentral:rRNA from 1 species